UAGUUGGAUUUCAGGUUUUACCCAUGAUGCGUCUUAUAGUAUCUUCAACAGUUUUUGUGGGUAGCCUGCGCAUGCGCGGCUAACCACUAUGUGUGACUAUGUAGUCGAAAAAGUGUCCGGAUCUGUGUGUGAUUGUGUGUGUUUGUGGCAAUCUUUGGCAAUCGUCGGACAUACGAAAGAUGACGAACGAGCUUACAGUGAUCGCUAAAUUGUGACGAGGCAUGGAUAUAACUCCAAAGAACUCCACAUUCAGAUGCGCGGAAAUAUGAAAAAUCAAAUUUUGAGAAGUUGAAAUAUAAUCAGUAUCGAUAGUUCUAAAUAUUUUAAGCGGCAGUUUUGAAACGAAAUGGAGAAUUGUCGGGAAGCAUUAAAGACCAUCCUUGAAAUGGCUGAACAAUCGGAACUUCUUCUUUGUGCAAUGUAAAACCGAGCAUUCCUGCCACCAAACAUGCUGUAUCUGACUGACUACCAUCAGGACUUUCAAUUUCAAGCGGCACAGAUAACAGACCACUGGUA